UGCCAGCAGCCGCGGUAAUACGGAGGGUGCAAGCGUUGUUCGGAAUCAUUGGGCGUAAAGCGGACGCAGGCGGCUAGGCAAGUCGGGUGUGAAAUCCCAGGGCCCAACCCUGGAACUGCACUCGAAACUGCCUAGCUAGAGUCCCGGAGAGGAUGGCAGAAUUCCCGGUGUAGAGGUGAAAUUCGUAGAUAUCGGGAGGAAUACCAGUGGCGAAGGCGGCCAUCUGGACGGUGACUGACGCUCAUGUCCGAAAGCGUGGGGAGCAAACAGGAUUAGAUA
rnacentral:rRNA from 1 species